rnacentral:rRNA from 1 species
AAUAUUGGGACAUAUAAAAAAAGACAACUCUGUUCCGUAGAGUAGCUGUUGACAUUAUAGUUGCGCAAGAACUUUGUUGACUCUAGAGAACCUCAGGCAAAUCGCACAUCCCCGUGGCGGCGACUUUGCAUGCGGAUGUCAUCGAUAUCAACUUUCGAUGCCAGUUUCUGUGCCUACCAUUGUGACCACGGGUAAUGAGGAAUCAGGAUUCCAAUCCGUACAGGGACCCUGAUAAAUGGCUACCACAUGCAAGGAAGGCAGCAGGCGCGCAAAUGACCCACUCCCGACGCGGGACGGUAGUGA